rnacentral:rRNA from 1 species
CCUACGGGAGACAGCAGUGAGGAAUAUUGGUCAAUGGACGAGAGUCUGAACCAGCCAAGUAGCGUGAAGGAUGACUGCCCUAUGGGUUGUAAACUUCUUUUAUAUGGGAAUAAAAUGUUCCACGUGUGGGAUUUUGUAUGUACCAUAUGAAUAAGGAUCGGCUAACUCCGUGCCAGCAGCCGCGGUAAUACGGAGGAUCCGAGCGUUAUCCGGAUUUAUUGGGUUUAAAGGGAGCGUAGGUGGAUUGUUAAGUCAGUUGUGAAAGUUUGCGGCUCAACCGUAAAAUUGCAGUUGAAACUGGCAGUCUUGAGUACAGUAGAGGUGGGCGGAAUUCGUGGUGUAGCGGUGAAAUGCUUAGAUAUCACGAAGAACUCCGAUUGCGAAGGCAGUUCACUGGACUGCAACUGACACUGAGACUCGAAAGUGUGGGUAUCAAACAGGAUUAGAUACCCGGGUAGUC